rnacentral:rRNA from 1 species
UACGUAGGGGGCAAGCGUUGUCCGGAUUUAUUGUGCGUAAAGAGCGUGUAGGCGGUUGGAUAGGUCCGUUGUGAAAACUCGAGGCUCAACCUCGAGACGCCGAUGGAAACCAUCUAACUAGAGUCCGGAAGAGGAGAGUGGAAUUCCUGGUGUAGCGGUGAAAUGCGCAGAUAUCAGGAAGAACACCCGUGGCUAAGGCGGCUCUCUAGUACGGUACUGACGCUGAGACGCGAAAGCGUGGGGAGCGAACAGG